AACUGUCAAAAACAAUGGUUUCUGUUAGAUCUGGUUUUGUGUAAGAAAUUCAACCUUGGUAUUUAACUUUGCUGUGAUUUAUAAUAAUAAGAAUAUCAUCUAAUUCAAUACUACCUAUGUGUCUACAAACUGUUCUUGAGUCUAGAUAAGGAACUUGUGCCAGAAUAUAAGUUACCCAAGUCACUAAGCAUCCUGUUUAUUAGUUCAGCUAAUUUUUUUUUUUUCCACAGCCACACUUUUUUGGUGAGGGAAUAGAAGUAUAUUGGUUUACAUUCUGGGCUUAGAUAGGCACUUAGAGUUUCCUGAUCUAAUUUAUGGGUAUCAGGAUGGUAUAACCAAAAAAAAAAAAAAUCAGACUCAGCAAUUGCACUCCAAAUUCAACUUAACAAACAUGUCCUAUGUGCCUACUUAACUCUAGGAGCUAAGGACAAAUCUUAAAAGAUUAAACAUUGGUCUAUCUUUAAGGGUUCACAUCCAGGUGCUUGAAUAUAUAUAUAUAUUUUUAAUUAUUAUUAUUUUUUUUUACUUAAGACACCCAAGCCACUUGAUAUAUUAUGACUACAAUUUCUCUGAAAGCCACAGCUCUCUUUCUCAAGCUUCCUCAUGUUGUGCAAAAUUAUUUUUCUCCUUCUUAGCCCUGAAAAAUACAUGGUUCAAAUACAGCCUAUAGCUAUGCUUCAGAACCCUUUCUUUAAACAAAAUCUUUAAGUAAAAGCCUAAAAUAUAAAAACUAAAAUGGUGCUACACUUGUUAAAAUGGUAGCGGAAGGGGUGGUCUGGAGCCACCUAACACCAUUAUGCUCCUCUCACAGGUGCCCUGGAAUUCCUAGGAGCAGUUUGAAACCAUCUCAGCCAUAUGCUCCAUCUACAUUGGACCAUUUGACAUUUCCAUGAACAACAUAUUUGUUUACACUUCUGCAUCUUGACACCUAUAUCUUGCCUCCCCCUUUGAACUGUAUUAUUCAAGAAUCACCUUCCUACCAAACACAAUGUCAAGGAGUCUUUUUCAGAUUCAAAAAUAUUUACUGAACUAUUACCAUAGCCAGGCUCUGUGUAUCUCUGUACCAUAUGCUACUGAAAUCAUUUACUUGUUAUAUGUGUCCCUUUUAGAAUGAGCUCCAGGAGGCACAGACUCAUUCAUCUGAGUCUCCAAUGUCUAACCAAGUGCUCAGCAUACAAGGUGCCCAAGAAGUUGCCAAAUAAAUGAAUUUUUAGUCUACCUAGAUCAUAUGCACCUUUCUGACUGACUUCAUCUGUCUCUCCUGGCCUGAGAGAACAACUGAUCAUCUUUUUCCUAUUUGGGUAAAGCAUGAACAAAGUCUGAAUGACAAUAUCUCAUGGUGCCAGAUCAUAGAAAUGUUAGUAGAUACAAUUUUGUCAGUGUUAAUUUAUCCUUAUGGCUUUCUGAGUGGUGGCCUGUUAAUUUUUACCCUGCCCCCCAUGAUUACCUCAUUUUCAUCUAAUUUACUGUUAUUCAUCUAACACUCCAGGUUGCUAAAAGAACAAGUAGCUGCAAAGAACACAAAGAACACAAAGAAAAACAACAUAGGAAGUUACUGCACACAGGUUACCAACCAAGUUGAUUUUAUAAAAGGCCUAGGGAAAGGCUAGAAGACAGGAGGCUGACCCUGAGGAGAUGAGCCUGGCCUGGAGAGGGCAACUGACUACUGUGUGAGAAGCAAGGGUUUAUUGCCUUCAAACAACCUGCAAGAGCUUCCUGAGCCUACUCUCAGGUUCUGGCCAGUAUAUGGAUAGCCUGUUUCUAACACCCACCUGGUUCACCAAUACGCCUCAACCUUGCCUCAGCCCUCAGCAGCCAAGACCUCAAAAACAGCACCAGAAAUAUUCUACCCUGACUACCCCACCCCUCCCCAUGCCCAAAGAAAGCCCCAUUCCCUCAAUGCUGAAUUUUACAGACAGAAUUUUGAAUAAAGUAGUUUAGACUGAAAUA